GCCCACUAGCUAGCCCACCCUAGCAAAAUCAACAAUCCAAUGUAAAUAACCCCAAACAACACAUCACCUUCCACUAAACAAAGCAUUUUUCCCCCUUAGUAUGGGAGACAGAAAAGGAACUAUCGGAGCAAUAGAGAAAGUACCGCAAGGGAACGCUGAAAGAGAAAUGAAACAACCCAGUGAAGCCUAAAAGAGCUGAGAUGAUUUCUCGUACCUUUUGCUUCAUG
rnacentral:rRNA from 1 species